ACGAACGCUGGCGGCAUGCCUAAUACAUGCAAGUCGAACGAACACUUCGGUGUUAGUGGCGCACGGGUGCGUAACGCGUGGGAAUCUGCCCUUGGGUUCGGAAUAACUUCGGGAAACUGAAGCUAAUACCGGAUGAUGACGUAAGUCCAAAGAUUUAUCGCCCAAGGAUGAGCCCGCGUAGGAUUAGCUAGUUGGUGAGGUAAAGGCUCACCAAGGCUACGAUCCUUAGCUGGUCUGAGAGGAUGAUCAGCCACACUGGGACUGAGACACGGCCCAGACUCCUACGGGAGGCAGCAGUAGGGAAUAUUGGACAAUGGGCGAAAGCCUGAUCCAGCAAUGCCGCGUGAGCGAUGAAGGCCUUAGGGUUGUAAAGCUCUUUUACCCGGGAUGAUAAUGACAGUACCGGGAGAAUAAGCCCCGGCUAACUCCGU
rnacentral:rRNA from 1 species